rnacentral:rRNA from 1 species
UGAGUACGAGAUGCUACGGCAUCGAAGCAGUCUAUGUCAUACUUCCAAGAAAAGCUUGCACUGUCAUAAACAAAGAAUGCCUGUACCAUAACCGACACAGGUGGGUAGGUAGAGUAUACUAAGGGGCGCGAGAUAACUCUCUCUAAGGAACUCGGCAAAAUGACUCCGUAACUUCGGGAGAAGGAGUGCCUUAUUUCUAAGGUUGCAAUAACAAGAUCCAAGCAACUGUUUACCAAAAACACAGGUCUCCGCUAAGUCGUAAGACGAUGUAUGGGGGCUGACGCCUGCCCAGUGCCAGAAGGUUAAAGAAGUUGGUUAGCAUUAGCGAAGCUGAUAACUGAAGCCCUGGUGAACGGCGGCCGUAACAAUAACGGUCCUAAGGUAGCGAAAUUCCUUGUCGGGUAAGUUCCGACCCGCACGAAAGGCGUAAUGAUUUGGAUACUGUCUCGGAGAGGGGCUCGGUGAAAUAGACUUGUCUGUGAAGAUGCGGACUACCUGCACCUGGACAGAAAGACCCUAUGAAGCUUUACUGUAACUUGAGAUUGAAAUUGGACUUUAUUUGCGCAGUAUAGGUGGGAGGCGUUGAGAAUAAUCUUGCGGGAUUGUUGGAGCCAUCAGUGAGAUACCACUCUUGUAAUGUUAGAUUUCUAACUUUGUAUCAUUAUCUGGUCAAAGAACAGUUUCAGGCGGGCAGUUUGACUGGGGCGGUCGCCUCCCAAAGGGUAACGGAGGCGCACAAAGGUUUCCUCUGAACGGGUAGAAAUCGUAUCUAGAGUGUAAAGGCAUAAGGAAGCUUGACUGUGAGACCUACAAGUCGAGCAGGGACGAAAGUCGGUCUUAGUGAUCUGACGGUGCUGAGUGGAAAGGCCGUCACUCAACGGAUAAAAGUUACUCUAGGAUAACAGGCUGAUCUCCCCCAAGAGUUCACAUCGACGGGGAGGUUUGGCACCUCGAUGUCGGCUCAUCGCAUCCUGGGGCGGUAGUCCGUCCCAAGGGUUGGGCUGUUCGCCCAUGAAAGCGGUACGCGAGCUGGGUUCAGAACGUCGUGAGACAGUUCGGUCCAUAUCCGGUGUAGGCGUUAGAAUAUUGAGAGGAGCCUUCUCUAGUACGAGAGGACCGAGAAGGACAUACCUCUGGUGUACCAGUUAUCGUGCCAACGGUAAACGCUGGGUAGCUAUGUAUGGAGUGGAUAACCGCUGAAAGCAUCUAAGUGGGAAGCCCACCUCAAGAUAAGUAUUCUCAUC